rnacentral:rRNA from 1 species
UACGAAGGGGGCGAGCGUUGUUCGGAAUUACUGGGCGUAAAGGGCGCGUAGGCGGCCGAUCAAGUUAGAUGUGAAAGUCCUGGGCUUAACCUGGGGACUGCAUUUGAUACUGAUUGGCUUGAAUUCGGGAGAGGAUAGCGGAAUUCCCAGUGUAGAGGUGAAAUUCGUAGAUAUUGGGAAGAGCACCGGUGGCGAAGGCGGCUAUCUGGACCGACAUUGACGCUGAGGCGCGAAAGCGUGGGGAGCAAACAGG